UAGAGGUGAAUAAUGAAAAAAUGUAGUGGAAUUGGCUUCGAGGUCCAGAGUUGAGUUUGAGGGCUUUUGGACAUUACUCACCUUGCCAGUCACCAAUGGCUGUGGUGAAAGGCAUUUUCAAAGUUUGUGAUAUUUAGUCAGAGAGAUUCAGUGGGUUUUGUACACCAGCGCCAAACAACUGAAACAACAAUAUUUCACAGUGGUUUGGAUGUUGAACUCAAUGAACCAAUUUCAGAGAUGAAAGGUGGGAAAAAGACAGUAACAUCAAACGUGAGGCCCAGUCAUGAAUGAAGAAGCAGGAGGGCUACAGUAUGUUGAAUGUGUAUCUGACACUGCCAUGUUCGGCCCUCGCCAGGAUUAUAAUUCUCUGAGCAAGGGCAUCAGAGCUGAAAACAUCCAGUUGUAAAUAGCAUGUAGGUGUGUGAUCCCCUGUUUAAUGCUGACGCGGAGAUAACCGACGAUCCUUCUGAUCAUCAACAAUGCUUGAACAGCCACCAACCGCACUCCCUCUGCCUUUUGAUUUCAAAUGCAACGGCGUGCUCAAUAAAAAAA